rnacentral:rRNA from 1 species
AGAGUUUGAUCCUGGCUCAGAACGAACGCUGGCAGCAUGCCUAACACAUGCAAAUCGAACGAAGCCUUCGGGCUUAGUGGCGCACGGGUGCGUAACGCGUGGGAAUCUGCCCUUCGGUUCGGAACAACAGUUAGAAAUGACUGCUAAUACCGGAUGAUGACGUAAGUCCAAAGAUUUAUCGCCGAAGGAUGAGCCCGCGUAGGAUUAGCUAGUUGGUAAGGUAAAAGCUUACCAAGGCGACGAUCCUUAGCUGGUCUGAGAGGAUGAUCAGCCACACUGGGACUGAGACACGGCCCAGACUCCUACGGGAGGCAGCAGUGGGGAAUAUUGGACAGUGGGCGAAAGCCUGAUCCAGCAAUGCCGCGUGAGUGAUGAAGGCCUUAGGGUUGUAAAGCUCUUUUACCCGGGAUGAUAAUGACAGUACCGGGAGAAUAAGCCCCGGCUAACUCCGUG